AACUAAGAUAUUUAAUGUAUACGGUGGAUGCCUUGGGUCUUUGUGCCGAUGAAGGAGGUACUAGGCUGCCAUAAGCCUCGAGAAGCUGCCAAGAAGCGUUAUUACUCGGGGAUAUCCGAAUGGGGAAACCUGGCUCGUAGUAAUACGAAGUCGUCUAUUACUGAAGGUCUGCCUUCGGGUGGAUUAUAGGUAAUAGUAUGGGAACUCAGCGAACUGAAACAACUUAGUAGCUGGAGGAAAAAAGACAAAAUCAUGUAUUUCCUAAGUAGCGGCGAGCGAAAGGGAAGUAGCCCAAACCCAAGGCUAAAAAGAUGAAACUGUUUCUUUAAUCCGCCAUUGGCGGAAAAGAAACAGAAGCCAUUUUUUUAGUCACGGGGGUUUAGGACAGCCCACACUGGUAAAGAUGGUCAAAAGAAGUUUAGCGCGAAAGUGCGCAACGACUGAUGGCCGAAGGCCAGAAGGAGUUACAAAGUGCUUGCGUAGAAGAAUCCAACUGGAAAGUUGGGCCAUAGAGCGUGAUAGCCGCGUAUUCGAAACGCACGCACCUUCUUGGGCUGAUCCAGAGUAGCAUGGGGCACGUGAAACCCUGUGUGAAUUAGGCUGGACCAUCAGCUAAGGCUAAAUACACAAAGACACCGAUAGCGAACAAGUACCGUGAGGGAAAGGUGAAAAGUACCCCGGGCAGGGGAGUGAAAUAGUUACUGAAACCGUAUACAAACAAGCUUCCGGAGUCCGCCUCUGGCGGAUGACGGAGUGCCUAUUGAAGAAUGACUCAGCGAGUUAAUACUGCAUGCGAGCUUAAGCAAUUAAGUUGUGUAAGCGAAGGGAAACCGAGUCUUAAUAGGGCGGCCGAGCUGCUUCGAAAGAAGCUGCCGGAUAGUAUGUAGUAUUAGACCCGAAGCCAGGUGAGCUAACCAUGGGCAGGGUGAAGCAUGGGUAAAACCAUGUGGAGGCCCGAACCGUUGUAUGUUGAAAAAUGCUCGGAUGACCUGUGGUUAGGGGUGAAACGCCUACCGAACUUGGCUAUAGCUGGCUCUCCCCGAAAUAUAUUUAGGUAUAGCCUCAAUCUUUGUGGGCUUGUGAGGUAGAGAUACUGGAAAGGGAUGGGGCGCGCAAGUGUACCCACCUUUACCAAACUCCGAAUGCACAAGCUUUAGAUUGGGAGUCAGUACUGCGGGGCAAUCUCGUGGUACGAGAGGGAAACAACCCAGACCAUCGGAUAAGGUCCCUAAUCUUUGCUUAGUGGGCAAGGAAGUGGAACUGUUUAGACAGCUAGGAGGUUGGCUUAGAAGCAGCCACCCUUUAAAGAAAGCGUAACAGCUCACUAGUUAAACGGUUCUGCGCCGACGAUUUAACGGGGCUGAAGCAAAGAACCGAAGCCGUGGAUGUUGGUAUUUCGCAUCGGGAAUUGCCGGUUGCUUUCGUUUUUACGAAACAUACUGGUAUUUCCGCUGCGGAGUAUCAACGUGGUAGGGGAGCAUUGAUACUGCUGCGAAGGUGUAACCGUGAGGUUUACUGGAGCGGUAUCAAGUGAGAAUGCUGAGUUGAGUAACGAAAGGAUGGUGAAAACCCAUCCCGCCGGAAGUCUAAGGGUUCCUCCGCUAUGUCAGUCAACGGAGGGUAAGCCGACCCUAAGGUGAGGCCGAAAGGCGUAGCCGAUGGAUAGCAGGUUAAUAUUCCUGCGCUACCGUGAAAUCGCUAUCACCAAUGGAGGGACGGAGCAUGAUUGGCUGGGCCCAUUAUGAAUUUGGGUUCAAAAAACGAGCCAGUCUCUGCAGGCAAAUCCGCAGAGGCGUUUUGACGUGAGUUUAUGGAAAUCCGCCGCGAGGUGGAGAUUCAGCCGGAUUAAGCUUCCAAGAAAAUCUUCUAGGGACCUGCCGUAAGGCGGGCAUGGAUUUUACGGUACUCGUACCGCAAUCCGACACAGGUAGACGGGUAGAGAAUACCAAGGUGAACGAGAGAAUCAUUGUUGAGGAACUAGGCAAAUUACAUCCGUAACUUAGGGAAAAGGAUGCCCCAUCGCAAGGUGGGGGGCACAGAAAUGGUUCAAGCGACUGUUUAACAAAAACACAGGUCUCUGCUUAACUCGUAAGAGGAUGUAUAGGGGCCGACGAGUGCCCAGUGCCCGUAAGUUAAAGCUGGGGGUGAACACUCCGCCUAUGGUGGAGGACUGGCUCUCGGUACAAGCUCGGGUGAACGGCAGCAGUAACUAUAAAGCAAGUUUGUUAUCUCGCUUAUGCUCGAUAAUAAACACAGUUGUAGUUACGAAGACGUUUUGUGUUUCGUCUUCCUAUCCGCCUUUGGCGGAAUGGUAAACUUGGCUAUAUGCUGGAAAGUCCGUCGUAUCCAACAGUACUAAAUUAUUAUUUAGUGAAAAUCUGUUUGGUGCGGAUAAUCAGCAGGCAACCUCAAAUUGCGUAAUUUGAGAGAGUCCUCAGAGACUAUACGCCAAGCUACAUGCUUUAAGCUUGUAGAAGAUAUAGUCCGAUCUGUAUAGCGAUAUACAGAAUCCAACAGAAAUGUCUGGAUCUUAUGGUCUAAAGAGCCAUAAUGAGUAACAAAAUAAACUGUUCUAUGGUUGAAGUCGCGCUGCCAUAGUGAAGGGUUAAAGUCCCUUCCAUCUACAAAGAUGAAAAAUUUGGCUAUAUGCUGGGAGGUCCGUCCACUAAAAGUGGUGUUUAUUUAGAGUAGAGUCUGAUACUUAUACUAGAAUGUUAUAUGCUAGUUUCUACUCAAAUUAGAAUAAAGAAUCUUGUACUACUAAAUGUAUUUGGGUAAUACUUGGGUAUGUUUAGUGAAAAUGUAACAAGUGCGGAUAAUCAGCAGGAAAGACUUGAUAAGGAUAAACUAGGAUAUUUUCUUGCAGGUUUUGUUGAAGGAGAAGGUAGUUUUAACGUCUCUUUGAGAAAAAAGAAUGAUUACAAGCUGCAAUGGCAGGUUGUACUUAGCUUUAAUGUCUCUCAAAAGGAUUUAACUUUAUUACACUUGCUCAAAAAAAAGUUAGAUUGCGGGAUUAUUAAAGUUAGGAAAAGAGACUUGGUCUAUUCACUUGAUAUAACAAAACCAAAAGAUGUAAUUGAGAAAGUCAUUCCAUACUUCAAGACGUACCAUUUCAUUUCGAGCUCUAAAAAAAGGAAUUUUUCCAUUUUUUGUGAGAUCGCGCAAAUGAUAAAAGAAAAUAAACAUCUUGAUGUGGAAGGUCUUAAGGAAAUCGUUCAAUUGAGAGAAAUCCUAAACGAAGGGAAAGGUCGAAAGCGAAAACACAGCAUUUCAGAUGUUUUUCCGAGUCAAGAAUCCUCACAGACUAUACGCCAGACUUCUAAUAUAUUAGGAGAAGAUAUAGUCGCAUCUGCAUGGCGACAUGCAGUGACAAAUUCUGAGGGAAAUUUGUCUUAAGCCUUGAGUUAAAAGGCAAAGAAUAUAAGCGUAAUCCCUUGUCGGGUAAGUUCCGACCCGCACGAAACUCGUAACGACUUGAACACUCUCUUAACAAUGAACUCGGUGAAAUAGAACUACCGGUGAAGAUGCCGGUUAAUCGUUGUUGGACAAAAAGACCCCGUGGAGCUUCACUGCAUCUUGGCAUUGGUUAGUGACGUUGAUUGUGUAGAGUAGGAGGGAGUUUGGCUUAAUACCCAAACGUCAAUGAAACACCUCUCUGUUAAUGUUGCAAGCCUAACUGUUCCGCCUGAUCGGCGGAGAGGACAAUGUCUGGAGGGCAGUUUAACUGGGGCGGUUUCCUGCUAAAAGGUAACGCAGGAGCCCAAAGGUUCCCUUAGCGCCGAUGGAAAUGGCGCUGUAAGCGCAAAGGUAUAUGGGAGCUUUACUGCAAGACAUACAAGUCGAGCAGUCACGAAAGUGGGGCUUAGUGAUCUUCCGAGUGCUUUUUGGUAAGCCCGGAACUUAACGGAUAAAAGUUACCCCGGGGAUAACAGGCUGAUCUUGCCCGAGCGUCCACAGCGGCGGCAAGGUUUGGCACCUUAGACAUACAUCAAGGGGUGCUACGAAAGUAAUUUCGUACCAAAAAUUCGGCUAAUAACGGUGAACUCCUUACUCUGUUGA
rfam:Candidate division WWE3 bacterium RIFCSPHIGHO2_02_FTLL_38_14 rifcsphigho2_02_scaffold_4978, whole genome shotgun sequence.